rnacentral:lncRNA from 1 species
AGCCAUGGGCCAGCCACAGCCCUGCACCGAUGAUGGGGAUGGAUGCCACCAGCGUCACCAGGUUCAGGUAGCCUAUCAUCGUGUUGCUCAAACGCCGGUGUGGUAGUGGGUAUAGGUGCUGCGAAUGCAUCUUGCUAAUGCUAGCUAGCUGAGCGAUCGAUCUCGGAUGACUGGUUCUGUUGCUACCUGCUUAUAUGUCUAUCUAUCAAGUAUUAUCAUCAUAUGCUUGCUAUAGUAGCUAGCUUUCUUUUCCUGCUGGCUUUGAGCUUUAUUUCCUUUGAUUGAUUCGCUUUAAUUGGUGCUUUUCUUUGUUCAUACCAUAUCAUACCAUACCAUACCUCUGCUGCUUGUGUGAGCUGUAAAUCCAUGUACGGCAGCCUUUUUCUAAUCAUCCAACACUCACUUGGAUUCGAUUAUGUAAUAGCACGGCAUGUUUCAUGAACUGGAAUUAUGUUUUCUGCAUUUAAACUUGCAUAUCCCUUUAUUAACUUUUGCCCUUUUUCCUCUUUAUGGAAAUUAUGCUUCCUUGUGUUUUUGCAUGCCCUUUUGAUGAAUGACGGAUUGAACUGUUCAACAGGCAUUGCUCCAAAUAAGAGAGCAAUUAAAGAGGAAGGAAUGCUACGGGAUUGAUUCUUAAUCACGAAGGCAGCCGGGUUGAGGGGAUCUGCGUAUGUACUAUGUGGCUUCUUUUCCAAAGCAAAAGGUGUCACUGCAUCCAGCAGCGACCCCAGCGCCAAUCCACGCCGACGGCAGUCACAGCGGCAACGUGGUGGCCAUCCAGAUCUGAGCAGUGGUCGUGCAUAACCAAUGAGCAGCGAUGAGCCGAUGACGACAAUCACCGUGCUUUGCCAUUGACGGGCUCACCGUUUUUUUUAAAAUUUAUUAGCUUUUGACUAAUUGACAGAGUCGUCAUUGGAGCCAAGACGGCUUGGCUUGUCUGCCUAUCUCCGUCCCUGAAUAGUUUCUGCACAUUUUUUUAGAAUAAAAAAGAUAACAAUUUGGUGUCAAAAUCACUAUUAAGCAAAUACUAUAUUUCAUGAUCCAAUGAUACUCAUUUAGAGCAUGUUUAAAUACACUAUAAUUAAUAGUUAGUUGAUAAAAUUAGUUGAAUAUCUAAACAGUCUAGCUAAGAGCAUAUCUAAGAAACUCUUUAGUUUUUUCUAUUUGAAUUUCUAUCUAACCUCUUCAUAAAUAUUACACUCUAUAGGUACUAUUUCAUUUCAACAGACUCUCUAACAGCUAAGCUAGCCGUAGUGGAUUAGUGGCUAGCUAAAUUUGGCUAGAGAUGGAGCUAAUUUGAAAAGUCGGAUGGUUUGGCGAGUUGAAUGGCUAGUCUGUUGGAGAGUUAUUUUACUGUUAAAUAUCCAAAAUUUGGCUAGUCUCUUGAAGGUAAUAGUUUAAGUAUUAGCUACUUACAUUUUAGUCAACUAACUAUUAGCUCUAGUGCAUUCAAAUAUUUUUUAAGUAAAAAAAUGGUAGUAGCUCUUUUAUAUAAACUUAGUCAGAUCUAAAAUAAUUUUCACUUAAGAUGACAACUUAGUUUGACUUAGACAACUCUCAAAGUUGAUUUCGUUUGGAACGGAAGGAGUAGUAGGAUGAUGGCCUCAAAAUCAUUAUAGGAUUAUGGAUGGUGGAGUUACUCUCCAAUGUCCAUUAUAUUGGUUUUGUUUGGUGCAACUAUUUUCGAGAAGCUUUUUUGAUAAUCUAGAUUCUGCUACCACGAAAAUCUGGAUAUCACGAGCCUUGUAUGUGAGGGAAGAUAAAGAGGUCCACGGUUUAAUAGAAAGCGGAGGCGAUAGAUUUCUCCUGUUGCGACGACUCAGCGAAUUCUGUAUUGAACGGUUUUCAAAAAAAUAGCGUUUAAUAGAAGCUGAUUCUGGCAUCUGGCGGAUCAAAAACUUAAACAAAAAUCCUGACGGUGUCCUGUGUGCAUGAGUUUGUGUACUGAUGAACUUUAUCAACCAGGCCCUCGUCUAAAAACUUAAUUCCGAAUCCAUCCCAGCACACGCACGUUUCUCUUCUGCCCGGCGCG